UACGAAGGGGGCGAGCGUUGUUCGGAUUUACUGGGCGUAAAGGGCGCGCAGGCGGCUAUCCAAGUCAGGCGUGAAAGCCCCGGGCUUAACCUGGGAGGUGCGUCUGGGACUGGGUGGCUAGAGUUCGGGAGAGGAGAGUGGAAUUCCCAGUGUAGAGGUGAAAUUCGUAGAUAUUGGGAAGAACACCGGUGGCGAAGGCGGCGCUCUGGACCGAGACUGACGCUGAGGCGCGAAAGCGUGGGGAGCAAACAGG
rnacentral:rRNA from 1 species